GGCAGAACAAUUUCUUGAUUCAUAUUAAAUGAAUUAGUCACCUUAGCAAAAAAGGAGGGAUGAAGUUUCAGAACUACUAUCCAAAUGAAAAACCAGGAAAGGUGGAGAAAAGGCCAAAGCCUGAAGUUCCCUCAGGCGUUUUGAAGAACUAUCCGCAACCAACAACACUGUUUUUAAAGUGAGAAUCUUUAGACUGACUGAAUCCAAGGGUUUAAAAGGAGGUUCAUACAAAGCGGACAGAACAAUGUUUAAAUCCCAUGAAGGAAC